GCGAUUCGCCCUUGGGGUGCCCAGGGGCCAAAACUUUACCAUGGUGGCAACACCCCAUUAAGGGAACUCCAAUGGCCAGAUACUAUCUUGGCUUUCCCGAUUCCUAAAAUACAUUUUAUAACAAGGGCCCGGCAAAAACCGUGCCCACCCCCCCCGUAACCCCCGCCGCUCCAAUGGUAACCCCUUUUAUUGGGUCUAAAAGGUCUGUAACCCGCCCUAUAAAUCUUUUGGGAAAUCCUGCUGAUCAACACUUGGGCUUUCAAAAAAUUCUGUUCAGCUUUAGAACCGGAAAAGUUAGAAGUACUUCAGGGGUAAGGGUGAAAUCUUGUAAUCCUUUAAGGACACACCCGUGGCCAAAGCCUCUCACCAAAACGGAUCUCAACGCUAAGGACAAAAGCUUGGGGCACCAACCCGAUUAAAUACCCCGGUAAUCCUAACCCUAAACCAAACUCCCUAAGUGUCAACCACCGUGCCACCGUGGUUGGUGCCCUAAGGAAACCCUGAAACCAACCACCUGGGAAAUACCGCCCCAAGGGUUAAACUUAAAGGAAUUGGCGGGGGAACAC
rnacentral:rRNA from 1 species